ACAGCCAGGAUCCGUGCAACGCCGGCCACCCGGCGAUGGCGCGCGACGCAGCCUCCCGCGGACGCCCAUGUGACGGCAUCGAGGCCGCGCGGCGACGCCCCCCACCCCCCGGCCAGGGCACGCAUGUGUACCUCUGUCACCUGCCAACAGCAAGUCUUCGGCGAGCUGCGAUGAGUACCUCCCCACUUUUCAUUCUUUGGUUGGAAAUUAUCAAUUUAUCUGCAUAUGACUAAAAAAAUAGUUUUACUUGCAUUGUCAAUUUAUCAUGCUGCAUUAUGUAGGCCUCUUACCAGAUUGAUUGGGAAUUUACUUGUAAAUGAAGUAUUCCUCUUGGUUUAGCAAUAUGUUAGCAUGAUCUUUUUUUGGGAGGUGGUGGGGGCUAUAUAAGCUCUGACCAGUGAUAUAUCAUUAGCAUUUUUUUCUGAAAUUCUGAACAAUGGCCAUUUACUUUUUGUUUGCCGGUUCAUGUAUUCCAUGAAUAUGAUUCACUAUCACUAGUGGACAACCUGUUCCUCUCUCAUGAUGACCACAUCAACUUGUUCAUGGAAUUGUUAUCAACGACCUGAUAGCUCUGAUGAUGUUAGAAGUUUUGGAACCUCAGUGCAGUUGUCCCAAUUUCAGGCCAUCGAAAGUUGAAUUCAAUUGCUCAUUGAGAUGAUGGUGCUUCAAAUCUUGUCGCUGUCUUGUAGGCUUGGCAAUUUGACUGGUAAUGGAUCUUUACAUUCUGCUUGGACAUGGGUUAGGCUGCUGUCAUACAAAACUGCAAAUGGCUGAAUGUUGCUAUCAUGAUACGGUGAUUCAGUGCAAUGGUUCAGAGCAACUAAGAUAGCCUGAAAAGGAAGAGUCUAGUGCUGUUGGUCAGCAGAUUUGUUUGUAGGAAGGUUCUUGCUGGAUAUUGCACUGUCUACUUCUAAAAUACCUCAAAUUCUGAUGACACUUAUAGCUUUGCGAGAGCAGUACCUGAUUGAAGCUCACAACAAAGCUAACUGGCUGUGUUGAAAGCACAAACUGCAUAUAAAGGCUAUUCAACACCAUUUAAUACUUAUGGUAAGAGCCCGAAGGAAGUGAAUAUUAAUGAACCUGGAACAAGCAGUUUGCAGUGUCAACCCAGCAGCUAAUAGAGGCACUACUGGUUCACCAUUCUCCUUGGUCGAGGUAGAGAACUCUAUUGUGUGAUUGUUUUUAUGUUAACCUCCUUGCCUUUUUCUUUUGUCAUCAACACCAUAAAUCACAAGAAUGUAGAAUUGCAUCUGUUUGAUUCUCUGGUUAUACAACCUUUGCUUCUUGCAUAUCUCAGUUAGCAAAAAAAGAAAUGCUGUAUUAUACCUCUCUGUUGAUGUCGGACUUGAAUUCUUAUAAAAGUUUACUUCCUACGGACGUAAAAAAUUAUCUUAGCCGCAUCGUAGGAAGAGAUAUAAAAUAGAAUAUAGUGUACACUUGUUU